UGCUGAUCGGAGCAGGCCCAGACACCAAAGGCAGCAGCUGCGCCGAUCUAGCUGGAGCUGAGUGUGUCAGAGGACGGGGGAACGGAUGAGCUGCAGGUGAGCGGCAGGUGAGCCGCAGGUGAGCCGCAGGUGAGCCGCAGUUAUGCCUGAGGAAGCUCAGCCUGGGUACCAAGGUAAACAUGACAAGCGCAUGAAAGAAAAAACAGGGCAGAUGCCAGGCCAUCCCCGUGAUCGGGAGACAGCAGCGUGGCAGUCCUGAGAAGGAGUCUGGCAAGAACCAGAACGUGCUCCCAGGCCCCAUCGGGAGCACCAGACCCUGGUGGCUCUCCUGGGUGUCAGUACUCGAUUGACGUACCUUUCCAGGGCCCAGCUGUCCACAGGCCACAUGACAUGUGGCUUCCUGGGGAAGUCUCUUCCCUCCUACUAGGCAGUGAGCUCCUCAAACCCGGGGCCUGGGUCUUCUUCGUCUGGUUUCUCUCGUGUCUAGCGCCCCGAUUACAACACAGCAGGUUCGAGUAAAAAAUAACCGAAUUGAAUUAAAGACCAAAAGGAAAUAUUUCUGACGACUCAGAGUUGCCCUGAAUCCGAGGUUUAAUGAAAGCGGCAGUUCCACAGAGGAGGAGGACGGGGCCAGGAGGGACGGCGGCAGUGAAGGCCCCGAGCAGCCCUCUCGGCACACACGCAGAGCACGCUGCCACACAGGUGUGGGCACACGCGGGUCACACUUGCACAGGGGCCGAACACAUGCAGAGCACGCUGCCACGUGGAUGUCAGACCUUCCGUGCAGAGAAAGCAGCUCUUGCACAGGAGUGUCCUUGCUGCCUGGUACAGUUCAGAUGUCCCCUACAAGCGGUCAGCACUGAUCUUGGCGAGUUCAUUGCAAGUGGGUGGCGCAGUGUCACUGCAGGAGGCCGAGAGCAGCCCACGCUGCAGUGGAGAUGAGCACACGGAGGCCCAGGGGACGGAGCUCCCCCAGCGUCUGGGAACCCCAGGGAAGCUAGCCCAGGCCUGCAGGUGAGAAAAGGUGAGCAGUGACCUCGGGUGACCCUGGGGAGGGCCAGUGCAUGAGUCAGGGUAGCCUAACUAUUGCAACAAACCACCGCCAGAUUUCGGGGAUUUGGCCCAAGAAAAGUUUAUUUUUCCAACAUGCAUCAGUGGAGGCAGGAGGAAGUGGCCGGGCUGGUCCCUCUCAUAGAGUCAUCAGGGGACUAGGGAGCCUCCUCCUUCCACCUGUCACCUCCAGCUUCACCUCUUGGAGCCCUGCACUGGGUCUUCUGCAUCUGGCCAGCAAAAGAGGGAGGGAGAGAGGGUAGAGGACCACAUUCGGGAAGCUUCUUAGAGUCUAGGCCCACAGGUGGUGGGCCUCACUCGUGCCCGCAUCGGCUGAACUCAGCAAAGCAGCCCACCCAACAGCAAGGGAGGCUGGGAAGUGUUGGCUGUGCGUCUGCGAGGAAAAGCACGUGGGGUUGGAGGAACACACAGUAGGAGGCAAGUCAGAGCAGCUCCCGGAGAGCAGACAUGACCAGGGAACACGAGAGAACCACGGUCCGGAAGUUGGAAGAGGCCCCUGGAGCAGGAACAGGUCAAAGGACAGGAGCGCCAUCUACGUGUACCAGGCCUGCACGAGACGGCACCGAAGACAAUGCUGGAAGAAGGAGGGGUAAAAUGUCUUCGGAGGACACAGUGAAGAUGAAAUAAAAAGCAGAAAAUAACAGCAAGAAGACAGGCUGCAGUCCCCAGCAGCGUGGGCUCGUGUGGGGAGGGGUGCGCGAGUCACAGCAGCUGCUGGCUAGGGCUCCCAGAAGGGGAAAAGGGAAAAGCCGCAGCUCCCUAGAGUCAGGGGCCGAGUUCCUGGCUGCUGCCAAACCUCAACCUUUGUAAUCAUGGCUGUCAAGAGGCUGAGAGGCGGCAAAAAGGUCUGUGUGCCUGGUCCUCACGUCUGUAGACUCAGGCUGCCGUCACCUGGCAGGGUGUCUCUGGGUAACAAUCCACACGUGUGUUGUGUGGUGCCUUCCGGCCCAUGGACUCUGAAUGUGACUGUGGUUUUCUCAUUGUCUCAGAAGCUCCUGGAGAGGAGCAGGAACCGUGCCCAAAACUAAUGACCUGAAGGAAGUUAUGAAAUAUUGCAAUUGCUAUGUCCGUUUCUUGGGAAUGCUCAACUGGAAAUAGAUACAUCAUCCCUUUCUUGGAAAGUCGGUUGAUCCAAACCACCUCAGAUGGAAAUGAUUUCUCAGGAUGUGUCUAUGGAAUAUAUUUUCUGUCUUCAGCAUCUCAAAAGUCCCAGGUAAUUUAGGGGCAAUUAACAGAGUCUUCCCUCUGAUUCUCGGCCAAAUCUCAGAGCUUGUCUCAUCCAAUGUCUAGAAAAGAACGUCCAAAAUCCAUUUGUGAGAAGUUUCCAUGGGGUAACAAUGGCCAAGCCAAGACAACAUUUCGAAACGUGGAGAAGACACUGCCCUUUGUUUCUCUGCCAGCCACCGGCAAUGAGCUCGGGGAGGGGAGUGGAGGGCCCCGCUGCAAACGAGCCUCUGCCCUUCGCGAUGGUGGGGCGAGUGCUCUGAAGGUGCCCAGGGCAGCCUGGGGACCCCGGGGCUUUGCUCUCUGUGGCUCCCACUUUCAUUACAGAUCUUUCUUCUUCAGCUACCUCCAGGCUGUCAUAAUGCCGCCAGAUGAGAUCCCAGAAGUGGUCAGAUGAGACGCAGCUCCCAGGGCGAAUCCCCGUUUCAUUCACUCCCCACCUGCAGAACUCAUGCAGGCUACAGAGCACAACAUGAGAGAUACCCUCCCGGUCUACACUGCAGCCAGGGGCAGUUUUGCCCUCCAGGGGACAUUUGGCAAUGUCUGGAGACAUUUUUAGUCAUCGCCAUUGAGGGGAUGCUGCUGGCAUGCAGUGGGGACCCUCACUCCCAGUGACCCACUGGAGGAGAGUUCGUUCCCAUACCCACAACACUGGGCUCUGCAGGGUCGGAGUUCUUGGUACCCAAAAAGGCACACUUUCACUAGGGGACCAGAGAAAGGUUCUCGUGAAUUGUAAGCUUGACAGCCACUGGGCAUUUUGGGGUCCACGUGCCCAAAGAGAAGAGUUGCCCUCCUGCCCCAGAUCACCAGGAAGAGGCUGGGCUGCCAGGACACAUGGCCGCAGGGACCAGUGUGUGUGGGCUCUGGGUGACUCACUUGGGCACCUCUGUGUAGGCUCUUACUAACUGUGACCGUAGCUGGGCAGAUGCAGCAAACCCAGCUUGGACAAGAGCACGGUGACCAGGACUUUGGCCCCUCAGGAAUGAGGGGCAGAGUCACACCACCAGGUAGGACACCAAGACUGCAGCAGUGGCAGCUGAGGAUGAGGGACUCCAGGCUGAGAGCAGCUCUGUCACCAUUCCAGGGGUCAGUUCCAGCCCUGACACCACUACUGCAGCUGUGGAGGUGCGAUGUGUCCCACUAAUCUCCCGUUUCUAAGCUUCCCCCCCGGGAAGAGGGGUGCACCAGAACCGUGGAGGAGCUGCUCCCAGGCUGCACAGAGAAGUCCGGCAAGUGGCCAGAAGUAAACUGUGCAGGACUGUGGGAGGAAUAGCCCAGACUGCCCUCCCAGGAAGGACUUGCUGCCCUGCAGCAGGGGGACAGCCCUCGGACAACCUCGGCUGCAGCUCCCUACGGUCUGCUUGGGCUGCAGAGACCAUCUCACCUGGGGUCAUGCCUGCAUCAGUGAGUGAGCCAGGUGGGGCUGUGAAUGAUGCACCCAGGACAGUUCCAGCAUUUCCCACCAGGUGUGACUCCCUCCUCUCCCCAGCUAGCGCCUUCCUCAGAGCUCCUCCCUGUCUGGAAGAGGAUCGGGGGUCCGAGCCCCGCAGGAUGGGACAAGAGAAGUGGUUUUCAAGUAUUUUUUAACCACAAUCCAAAGUUUUUUAACACUCUCUUCUGGCCCGUCUGCAGUGUACUUCUUAGGACUUCAGCUGCCAGUGGAGAGCUCAGGUAUCAGCUGUGAGGCCCACGGUGAUUUCAUUUGGUCUAAUGACUUCAAGCUGCUUCCCAGGGCUUUAUGCAUUGGCCGUGCGUCUGUCCCCAGAGCUUGGCCCCAAGGCUUGGGAGAGCCCUUGGGAUCACACUCCAAAUGGAAGAGUUUCACAUUGACUUCAGAGCCCUCCCUAAUGAACUGUCCUCUCCCCGCCCCUGCCCUGUGUUCCAGACCUGUGUCUGAGUGGAUGACCAGUAGUGGGAACAGUGGCUGUCACGGUGGGCUCAGGGGGUGCUUCUGCAUGUCCACUGGCAGGGCACACAUGGGACCAUUCCCUGUUCCUGUCCAAUGCUGACAGACGCUCACACUUGUCCCAAGUGCCCAGACACAUGGUCCUGAGCGUCUCCACGUGGGGACUCCGGUCUCACACCUCCUGGGGACACUGGCUCCCUCCACGUCGUCUCUGUCCGUCAGUCAGUCCCCAAGCAGUGCCUUACAGAUUGGUGCUCAAUGUGUGUGCAUGUGGCUGGGAGAAGGUAA